rnacentral:rRNA from 1 species
UACGUAGGGGGCUAGCGUUGUCCGGAAUCAUUGGGCGUAAAGCGCGUGUAGGCGGUCCGGUAAGUCCGCCGUGAAAGUCGAGGGCUCAACCCUCGAAUGCCGGUGGAUACUGUCGGGCUAGAGUACGGAAGAGGCGAGUGGAAUUCCUGGUGUAGCGGUGAAAUGCGCAGAUAUCAGGAGGAACACCAAUUGCGAAGGCAGCUCGCUGGGACGUUACUGACGCUGAGACGCGAAAGCAUGGGUAGCGAACAGG